UACGUAGGGUCCGAGCGUUGUCCGGAAUUAUUGGGCGUAAAGGGCUCGUAGGCGGUCUGUUGCGUCGGGAGUGAAAACUUACAGCUUAACUGUGAGCGUGCUUCCGAUACGGGCAGACUUGAGGUAUUCAGGGGAGAACGGAAUUCCUGGUGUAGCGGUGAAAUGCGCAGAUAUCAGGAGGAACACCGGUGGCGAAGGCGGCAUCCUGGACCACGACUGACGCUGAGGAGCGAAAGCCAGGGGAGCAAACGGG
rnacentral:rRNA from 1 species